rnacentral:lncRNA from 1 species
AAGCUUGGAAAACAACUUUUUUAUAUCCCCCCACAUUUUGAUUGCUGUAGUCAGAAUUUGGUUUAAUUGUUGUUGAAAAAGAAAAACUACCUCUCGAUACCACUGAAUACAAUGUUAUGUAGACCAAAAGAGCUUUACUCUUCUGUGAGAAUUUGAGCCGGUGUCAAAAGUGUAAAGCCAUGGCCAGUGUGAGCUUGUGGACUGUCACACGGGCACUGUGAAGAAGGUCUGACGGUAAUAUCAGUUUAGGUUUAAACUUUAAAUGCAUGUGUUUGAUCACUAAAUCACAUUUUUAAUCUCUUGACUAUUCAUUGAAUAAAAUUGCCUGUGUAAUCAAAACCUUUCACAGCUCCGCCUCUGAUGACAAGCAGAAACACACCACAGCUCAGGUAAAUCCAGAACAAAAUCCACAUAUUGGUAUGCUCCCCAAAGUUCUCUUUUUUAAUUGGCACAGACAAUGUUUCCAUUCUAAUUUGGUUUUUGUGACCUUGUCACCCACAUUUUGUUCACAGUUUUUAAUUAAUCUCCCAUUCUUAAGACAUUUUCAAGUGAAAAAUGGUCCAUGAUGGUUUUAAUAUCAAAUGUGGACUUAAUCCUGACUGAGAUCCUCUAUAUGCUCCCUCUGCAGGGUAUGGAGGGGAGACGGAGCAUUCUGGAAGAACAGUGACCUCGGGGAGGACAUGCAGGCUCAGGGGGGAGUGGAGAAUCAGAUCAACAAACAGCAACUUCGCCACAUCGAAAGCAUGUUCAGAGAGUCUGACACAGAUGGAGGAGGGGGGUUGGAUAUGGAUCAGUUUCAGGAUGCGAUGUGGAUGAUGAGGAUCUGGACAUUAUCUUUAUGAAGGUGGACACCAACUGUGAUGGCAGUGUGGACUGGGUGAGAGAGGAAAACAAGACAAUGAAUGGGAGUGCUGUUUUGUCGUCAGUUGACCAACUCCUCUGGUAUGUGAAAAACAUGUAAACACAUUUAAAUUCUUACUCUCUUUAACAAAAGCUUUGUGUUGUUUAUACAG